rnacentral:rRNA from 1 species
CAGCAGCCGCGGUAAUACGUAGGGGGCGAGCGUUGUCCGGAAUUAUUGGGCGUAAAGCGCGCGCAGGCGGUCCUUUAAGUCUGAUGUGAAAGCCCACGGCUCAACCGUGGAGGGUCAUUGGAAACUGGGGGACUUGAGUGCAGGAGAGGAGAGCGGAAUUCCACGUGUAGCGGUGAAAUGCGUAGAGAUGUGGAGGAACACCAGUGGCGAAGGCGGCUCUCUGGCCUGUAACUGACGCUGAGGCGCGAAAGCGUGGGGAGCAAACAGGAUUAGAGACCCUGGUAGUCCACGCCGUAAACGAUGAGUGCUAAGUGUUAGAGGGGUCACACCCUUUAGUGCUGUAGCUAACGCGAUAAGCACUCCGCCUGGGGAGUACGGCCGCAAGGCUGAAACUUAAAGGAAUUGGCGGG